rnacentral:tRNA from 1 species
GCCCCUGUAGCUCAAUUGGACAGAGCUCCAGCCUUCGAAGCUGGGCAGUUGCGGGUUCGAGUCCUGUCAGGGGUUCCA